rnacentral:snRNA from 1 species
CCAAGCGCGGGUAAACGGCGG